rnacentral:rRNA from 1 species
UUCGCCCUUAGAGUUUGAUUCUGGCUCAGGACGAACGCUGGCGGCGUGCUUAACACAUGCAAGUCGAACGAGGAUGUUGGCUUCGGCUGACAUUCGAGUGGCGGACGGGUGAGUAACGCGUGAGCAAUCUGUCCCACAGAGGGGGAUAACAACUGGAAACAGUUGCUAAUACCGCAUAAGACCACACUGUCGCAUGACAGAGAGGUCAAAGGAGCAAUCCGCUGUGGGGUGAGCUCGCGUCCGAUUAGUUAGUUGGUGAGGUAACGGCCCACCAAGACAGCGAUCGGUAGCCGACCUGAGAGGGUGAUCGGCCACAUUGGGACUGAGACACGGCCCAGACUCCUACGGGAGGCAGCAGUGGGGAAUAUUGGGCAAUGGGCGAAAGCCUGACCCAGCAACGCCGCGUGAGGGAAGAAGGUUUUCGGAUUGUAAACCUCUGUCCUAAGGGACGAAGGAAGUGACGGUACCUUAGGAGGAAGCCCCGGCUAACUACGUGCCAGCAGCCGCGGUAAUACGUAGGGGGCGAGCGUUGUCCGGAAUGACUGGGCGUAAAGGGCGUGUAGGCGGCAGUAUAAGUCCGGAGUGAAAGUCCUGCUUUCAAGGUGGGAAUUGCUUUGGAGACUGUACAGCUUGAGUGCGGAAGAGGUAAGUGGAAUUCCCAGUGUAGCGGUGAAAUGCGUAGAGAUUGGGAGGAACACCAGUGGCGAAGGCGACUUACUGGGCCGUAACUGACGCUGAGGCGCGAAAGCGUGGGGAGCGAACAGGAUUAGAUACCCUGGUAGUCCACGCGGUAAACGAUGAAUGCUAGGUGUAGGGGGUAUUCGACCCCUUCUGUGCCGGAGUAAACACAAUAAGCAUUCCGCCUGGGGAGUACGGCCGCAAGGUUGAAACUCAAAGGAAUUGACGGGGGCCCGCACAAGCAGCGGAGCAUGUGGUUUAAUUCGACGCAACGCGAAGAACCUUACCAGGUCUUGACAUCGAUCCAAAGCUGUAGAGAUACAGUGUGACUUCGGUCAGGAGAAGACAGGUGGUGCAUGGUUGUCGUCAGCUCGUGUCGUGAGAUGUUGGGUUAAGUCCCGCAACGAGCGCAACCCUUAUUGUCAGUUACUAACGGGUAAGGCCGAGGACUCUGACGAGACUGCCGGGGACAACUCGGAGGAAGGUGGGGACGACGUCAAAUCAUCAUGCCCCUUAUGACCUGGGCUACACACGUGCUACAAUGGUGGUAACAAAGAGGAGCGAGCCCGUAAGGGUAAGCGGAUCUCAAAAAAGCCAUCUCAGUUCGGAUUGUGGGCUGCAACCCGCCCACAUGAAGUUGGAGUUGCUAGUAAUCGCGAAUCAGCAUGUCGCGGUGAAUACGUUCCCGGGCCUUGCACUCACCGCCCGUCA